rnacentral:tRNA from 1 species
AAAAGAGUAGGGCGCUGGCCUCAUAUGCCAGAUGUGGCGGGUUCAAACCCAGCCUCUGUUA